GGUCUGCCAAAUACCAGCUCUUCACAGAGAAAGGAAAAUCAGACUUGUUUAAAAUAGGUUUCUUCUUUAAACAGAAGAAAAUUACAAUACUGUGAAUUUGGCAUUAUUUUCUGACAUUGGAACUUGACAACAGGGAAAUAGUAGAAGAAACUGUAUUGAUCUGGAGUGAAGCUCAAGUUCAGUGAAUCAGGACUCAGAAGAGAAAUGGAGAGGAACAGGUUCCUUACGGUCACAGUCCAGCCAUGGAAUUUGCAGAACUUGGGUCUUCCAUUCCCAAGACAACUGAGCACAAUAUUCUCAGUUUGAGCAAAUAAGUGGAACUGAAAGGAACGCUUCCAGAGGAAGGAGAAUCGCUCCCUGAACUGUUUUAGAUGUUAGCAGCAGCAAGACACAAACAAUGCAGACACGUUGAGAGUCUCUCUGCAAAGCAAUUUUGCUGUCAGUGCAUCAAAGGGGGCUUUCCGCUGGUGCAGGGAAGCCUCUGGCUUAGCCCCACUGCUACGCUGGUUGGUGCAGAUCUCUGCUUGUCCUGUAGCACCGGGUCUCUUCUCCAUACAGGCAACAAAGAAGGGCAGAAAGAACACCCAAGUGCAAGGCUGCAGGGAAUACCAGAGUGUACACCAUACACGAAAAAACCCAUCCUACAGCUUCCCACAAGUCUAGCAGAAUACCCUGUCAGGAGGAACGCUGCCUUUCCUUUGAUGAUCGCUUUUGCAGACAAAAAAGGAGAAAUGUGCUGCGUCUCCGCUGUCGAAGAGCCAGAGGCAAGCAGAGCAACCGGGAUACGUGUGGGGAGCGACACAGCCAACAUCAGGAUUCAGGAGUAA
rnacentral:lncRNA from 1 species